rnacentral:rRNA from 1 species
UACGGAGGGUGCAAGCGUUAUCCGGAUUCACUGGGUUUAAAGGGUGCGUAGGUGGGUUGGUAAGUCAGUGGUGAAAUCUCCGGGCUUAACCUGGAAACUGCCAUUGAUACUAUCAAUCUUGAAUACCUUGGAGGUGAGCGGAAUAUGUCAUGUAGCGGUGAAAUGCUUAGGUAUGACAUAGAACACCAAUUGCGAAGGCAGCUCACUACACGGUCAUUGACACUGAGGCACGAAAGCGUGGGGAUCAAACAGG